AGUGAACGCUGGCGGUAGGCCUAACACAUGCAAGUCGAACGGCAGCACAGGAGAGCUUGCUCUCUGGGUGGCGAGUGGCGGACGGGUGAGGAAUACAUCGGAAUCUACUCUGUCGUGGGGGAUAACGUAGGGAAACUUACGCUAAUACCGCAUACGACCUCCGGGUGAAAGCAGGGGAGCUUCGGACCUUGCGCGAUUGAAUGAGCUGAUGUCGGAUAAGCUAGUUGGCGGGGUAAAGGCCCACCAAGGCGACGAUCCGGAGCUGGUCUGAGAGGAUGAUCAGCCACACUGGAACUGAGACACGGUCCAGACUCCUACGGGAGGCAGCAGUGGGGAAUAUUGGACAAUGGGCGCAAGCCUGAUCCAGCCAUACCGCGUGGGUGAAGAAGGCCUUCGGGUUGUAAAGCCCUUUUGUUGGGAAAGAAAUCCAGCUGGCUAAUACCCGGUUUGGAUGACGGUACCCAAAGAAUAAGCACCGGCUAACUUCGUGCCAGCCGCCGCGGUAA
rnacentral:rRNA from 1 species